GAGCUUGCUCUCGGGUGACGAGCGGCGGACGGGUGAGUAAUGUCUGGGAAACUGCCUGAUGGAGGGGGAUAACUACUGGAAACGGUAGCUAAUACCGCAUAACGUCGCAAGACCAAAGUGGGGGACCUUCGGGCCUCAUGCCAUCAGAUGUGCCCAGAUGGGAUUAGCUAGUAGGUGGGGUAACGGCUCACCUAGGCGACGAUCCCUAGCUGGUCUGAGAGGAUGACCAGCCACACUGGAACUGAGACACGGUCCAGACUCCUACGGGAGGCAGCAGUGGGGAAUAUUGCACAAUGGGCGCAAGCCUGAUGCAGCCAUGCCGCGUGUGUGAAGAAGGCCUUCGGGUUGUAAAGCACUUUCAGCGGGGAGGAAGGCGAUAAGGUUAAUAACCUUGUCGAUUGACGUUACCCGCAGAAGAAGCACCGGCUAACUCCGUGCCAGCAGCCGCGGUAAUACGGAGGGUGCAAGCGUUAAUCGGAAUUACUGGGCGUAAAGCGCACGCAGGCGGUCUGUCAAGUCGGAUGUGAAAUCCCCGGGCUCAACCUGGGAACUGCAUUCGAAACUGGCAGGCUAGAGUCUUGUAGAGGGGGGUAGAAUUCCAGGUGUAGCGGUGAAAUGCGUAGAGAUCUGGAGGAAUACCGGUGGCGAAGGCGGCCCCCUGGACAAAGACUGACGCUCAGGUGCGAAAGCGUGGGGAGCAAACAGGAUUAGAUACCCUGGUAGUCCACGCCGUAAACGAUGUCGAUUUGGAGGUUGUGCCCUUGAGGCGUGGCUUCCGGAGCUAACGCGUUAAAUCGACCGCCUGGGGAGUACGGCCGCAAGGUUAAAACUCAAAUGAAUUGACGGGGGCCCGCACAAGCGGUGGAGCAUGUGGUUUAAUUCGAUGCAACGCGAAGAACCUUACCUGGUCUUGACAUCCACAGAACUUAGCAGAGAUGCUUUGGUGCCUUCGGGAACUGUGAGACAGGUGCUGCAUGGCUGUCGUCAGCUCGUGUUGUGAAAUGUUGGGUUAAGUCCCGCAACGAGCGCAACCCUUAUCCUUUGUUGCCAGCGGUCCGGCCGGGAACUCAAAGGAGACUGCCAGUGAUAAACUGGAGGAAGGUGGGGAUGACGUCAAGUCAUCAUGGCCCUUACGACCAGGGCUACACACGUGCUACAAUGGCAUAUACAAAGAGAAGCGACCUCGCGAGAGCAAGCGGACCUCAUAAAGUAUGUCGUAGUCCGGAUUGGAGUCUGCAACUCGACUCCAUGAAGUCGGAAUCGCUAGUAAUCGUAGAUCAGAAUGCUACGGUGAAUACGUUCCCGGGCCUUGUACACACCGCCCGUCACACCAUGGGAGUGGGUUGCAAAAGAAGUAGGU
rnacentral:rRNA from 1 species